CCCUUAGAUGUUCUGGGCUGCACGCGCGCUACACUGAAGCUAUCAACACGUUUUCCCUCCCUGAGAAGGGCGGGUAACCUUUUGAAUCAGCUUCGUGGUAGGGAUCGGGGCUUGCAAUUGUUCCCCGUGAACCAGGAAUUCCUAGUAGACGCGAGUCAUAAGCUCGCAUCGAUUAAGUCCCUGCCCUUUGUACACACCGCCCGUCGCUACUACCGAUUGAACGUUUUAGUGAGGCAUUUGGACCGACGCAUCUCAGUUUAACCGCUGGUUUGUGUUGGAAAGACUUCCAAACUGGAGCGUUGAGAGGAAGUAAAAGUCGUAACA
rnacentral:rRNA from 1 species